UACAGAGACUGCAAGCGUUUAUUCGGAUUCACUGGGCGUAAAGGGUGCGCAGGUGGCCGUGUGUGUCAGAUGUGAAAUCCCGGGGCUUAACUCCGGAACUGCGUCUGAAACUACACGGCUAGAGCAUUGGAGAGGGUAGUGGAAUUCACGGUGUAGCAGUGAAAUGCGUAGAUAUCAGGAGGAACACCGGUGGCGAAGGCGGUUCUCUGGGCAUUACCUGACGCUGAGGAGCGAAAGUGUGGGGAGCGAACAGG
rnacentral:rRNA from 1 species